CGGGAGAUUGAUACACGGGUUCACACGAAAACACGUUUUCUCGUCACAAAUUCUCCCAAAAUAAAAAACACUUUCUGAUGACUGUAACUUGUGACGUGUUAAUUUACAGACAGAUACGGAGUGAACAUGA